rnacentral:other from 1 species
AGACCCCUGCGGUGUUCGUGAUGAAUGUCCACUUUUGGAGAACCGAUGCUAAUACCCGCUGGGGCUGAGCAUGGUGUUCGGCGCUUGCAAGCCCACCCUUAGAGUGGGAUCCAAAACCCGGACCUGAGGCCCCACUUGAACAGCGGGUUCUCAAAAGCAUUCACACGGCACAGGUGGAGGUUUU